ACGUAUAGCUAACUUAGUCAACUUCUCUAUUUUGCUUUGAUUUCCUCUUUGUUUAUUCACCGACACCAAAGAAAGAACCAGGUAGCCUACGAAUGCAGUAGGGCUUUAGAUCGGAUGACUGAAGAUAGAAGAUAGAGAAAUAUAAUGAAGAGAGAAGUGUGUGUUUGGCAUCUGCGGAAUGGAAUCUACCUUUGUGCCUUUAGGGGUGUCGGCUAUAUUUGAUCAAAGUCUGCGCUGCGUGCUUAUAGUUGUUGUCAUACUAACUGUGAAAGUGAUCGUUUUAUAGAGAUAUGGGAAUCAUUAUCAUGUGGUUUUAAACUACUCACUACUGCAUAGUGUAAAUGGAAAUAAUUGGCUUUUCCAUAGGCCUACAUAAUGUGGACUAAAGAACGCAAUAAAAUUCCCGUGGUGGGGUGGGUGGUGGUCAGAAGAAUGAUUAGCCAAGCUGACUUCUAUGUCCUGUUUACAUAGAGAGAAAGACAGGGUGAAAGAUCACGUUGAAAUUUCAUGUCGAGGUUCAGUUGCUGUCCAACUCCAGGAAAAGAUAACCAAAGCAUAUGGAUCCGUUCACUGAGGCAACUGCAAGCGCGGCUAUAAAGCAAGUCGCAAAGUAUUUAGGGUGCAAACCGACCUCAUUUAAAGUUGCCAGAUUCCUUGACGACAUCGACGAUUUGCGUCACCUGCGUGAGCAAUUUCUCAUUCCUAAAGUGUCACAAUUACCGCCGUCUGACCCCUCUCUGGUUGACGGCGCGGAGGAGUGCCUCUACUUUGUGGGAAACUCAUUAGGGCUGCAGCCAAAACUGGCCAGACAGUACCUGGAGGAAGAGCUAGAGAAAUGGGCACAGAUGGGUGUGCACGGUCACACGGAGGGCUCUCGUCCUUGGGCCUGGGCAGAGAACAACAUCGAACAGCUCAUGGCUAAUGUCGUAGGUGCUAAGCGAGAUGAAGUAGCCCUCAUGAAUGGCUUGACGGUCAACCUUCAUCUUUUACUGCUUUCCUUUUACAAACCUACAACGGAACGACACAAAAUCCUUUUAGAGGACAAGGCCUUUCCCUCUGACCAUUAUGCGGUGGAAUCUCAAAUCUCCCUGCGAGGUUUCGACCCUGAGAAAAGCAUGUUGCUGAUGUCACCUAGAGAGGGUGAGCACACAUUGAGGACAAAGGACAUCCUGAGCAUGAUUGAAAAGGAGGGCGAUUCGAUUGCCGUUAUUCUCUUCAGCGGAGUGCAGUAUUACACCGGACAGCUCUUUGACAUGGCUGCCAUCACCAAGGCCGGCCAGGCCAAGGGCUGUUACGUGGGCUUCGACUGCGCACACGCGGCGGGGAAUGUGGACCUGCGCCUACACGACUGGGGAGUGGACUUCGCCUGCUGGUGCAGCUACAAGUAUGUGAACUCUGGAGCAGGAGGGUUGGCAGGUGCUUAUAUCCAUGAGAGACAUGCCCACACAAUCAAACCAGCAUUGACAGGGUGGUGGGGACAUAAUUUAAAGACACGAUUCCAAAUGGAUAACCAAAUGGAUCUAAUACCUGGAAUUGGUGGAUUCAGAUUGUCAAAUCAGCCUAUUCUUCUGGUGUGUCCACUACAAGCGAGCUUGGAGGUGUUUAAUAUGACCAAUAUGAAGGCCUUGAGGAGGAAAUCCCGCCUGUUGACCGGUUACCUGGAGUACCUGAUUAAGCACUACUACACCAAACAUGAGGCCCACCCAGAGAAGCCCUACGUGGACAUCAUCACCCCAUCCAACCCCGAGGAGAGGGGAUGCCAGCUGUCCCUCUCUUUCUCUGUCCCGAUACGUGCCAUGUUCAAAGAGCUGGAGAAGAGGGGUGUAGCAUGUGACAUGAGGGAACCCAAUGUUUUGCGGAUUGCCCCAACCCCUCUCUACAACUCCUUCUCCGACUGCCACCGACUCAUCUCCACUCUGGGAGCAGCACUGCAGGCUAGCAACGAGCUCCAGCAGGCCAGCAAUGAGCUUAGCCAGUGAUACCUACAGCAUCUAACAGCCCUCCUCCAAGUACACAGCAGUGAGUACAUUUCUACUUGGCUCACCGGCCUGGCUACAUGACUGCUGGCGUUGGGGAGAGUCGAGUCCUGCAGCAGGAAAUGCCAGAUAUGUCAGAGAGAUGGAGAGUCCAUGUUGCCCCAGUGACAGAGAGGUCAAGAGCCCUGAUGCUCGUAAUAGGCUGUGGAGUCGAAACUUGGCCAGAAAGAGACUUCAGUUGCCUCAUCUCUCUGCAUUAUAUGAAUCUGUUCUGAUUUAGUAGCGAUACACAGAGAGUUUCUACUGUACUGGAACAGAUUCAGAGGGUUCCUGUUGGAGGAAGGCUACACACCACUCUAAAUCAAUUGUUUUGUCAGUAAACUAAUAUCUGCCUUCAAGUAGAGGUGUGGCAUUGGUUUUGGUGCAGCAAUCAAAAUUGGAGGAGACGUGAAUAUUUUAAUUGUAAAAAUUAUAUAAUUGCCGAAACAUUAUCAAAAGUGAUUUUACAUGUUAAAAAUGCUCAUCGUUCAAAAUAAUUUACUAGAGCUGUGUUAUUCAAUUCUAGUGUACAGUAUGUAUUAGCCUAUGCGAAUAACUGUGAAAUGUGAAAUAUCUACCUUUUCUGGAAUCUCAAGAAAUGAAAACAAUGAUAUUGAGGUUCUUGACCCUCUAUAUGGUCAUACCAUAAUUAAAUGAAAUCCAAAAACAGUCCUUAAUCCAA